rnacentral:rRNA from 1 species
AUACGGAGGGUGCAAGCGUUGUUCGGAUUCACUGGGUAUAAAGGGUGCGCAGGCGGCCCGAUAAGUCAGGGGUGAAAUAUGACGGCUCAACCGUCAAACUGCCCCUGAAACUGUCAGGCUUGAGUUCGAGAGAGGUAGGUGGAAUUCCAGGUGUAGCGGUGAAAUGCGUAAAUAUCUGGAGGAACACCGGUGGCGAAGGCGGCCUACUGGCUCGAUACUGACGCUCAGGCACGAAAGCAUGGGGAGCGAACGGGAUUAGAAACCCUUGUAGUCC